GGGGAACUUCAAUAUUUCCUACAUUUCAGUGAACAAUAGAAGGUAGGCCAUGAAGCAACGGGACAGUUGAUCCCUCGGAAGACCCGAUGAGGCAGAUGAAGAGAUAUAUGAUGUGUGAAACAGGGGGGUGUAUCUUCGCCCGUGGCAGCUACCCUGCGAAACCCUGCCUUCCCCGGUAUUUCGGGGCACCCUCAUCCAGUCACCCUAGUCAACUUCUCAGUGGAUCGCUCAGGUUCCGCACCCACCACCAGCAUCCAACGGAAUCUGCAGGGUCGACAGCGGGCCCAACUCCGUUCCUGGUCGGCUCGCAGGUUAACUUCAUCCCAGGUCACCACCGUCCAUCAACUAGAGGCGCUAUGCCUUCCACCUUCGGAAGGACUUUGACCCUAACGGGUAUCGACCCCAGGAUCUCCCGGGGGCAGUGGUCGCGCCUUACCAGUAGUGCCAAACCCAAAGAUAUAUGUAUGCACCACAGGUGGCGGCUUUUGGUAAGGCUUAACAGUAGCGAGGUUCAGCAAAACGAUACGUUAUUACAACUUAAUAAGGUACUUAUGAGCUGCUCCCAUUUGCAGGCCUAGGCUACGAUCUGAAGGAAAAACACGCACCGCGCACUCGUUGCCCCUCCACCGCUCUGCUUCAAGCUGCUGGGAUUCUUUGACUUCUGGUUGGCUCUCUUUCUUGUGCACCCGAGCCAACCACACCCGAGCGGACGCACGUACGCAUUGGGUUACCCUAACUACACCUUACGUGACGAUGGUUUUGGGCAGCAGAAGGUUACGUGUAACAAUUUUGCGUAAGCAUUGCUAUUAAAGCCCAUUUAUCAUUUAACGCUCAAGCGGGUAUUAUUGGCCCUAGGCCUGCUGUGCAGGCAGAACAGCAGCUUAGCUCGAUGUGCAUCAUUAUGUAAGAUGUAUGCAUACCAUAUAUAGCGAGCGAACGCACCCGCCGUCAACUGGCGAAAUUUGGCUUGCAGCUGCCCUAUGGCAUAAAACGGGGGAUAACUCCCCCUUAAGCGUUACCCCGCGGGUAAGGGUAGGGGUAAGUGGUUACCCAUGUGGGUUUGUACGAAGGGAGGUAGGCAACCUUACCCCGGGGUAGGGGUAACCUCUUACCGAGGGGAAAAAGAGGGAUUGGGGUAAUACGCUGGUUGCUUGGCUGCUACACACUUGCCUGGCCACACCUGCUGGGACUAAAGCGAUUUUCCCCACGACGGAGGAGCAGACGGAGGUAAAAGACACAACACAAGCAAGCCAUCCGCCAACCAUGCAUGCAAGCGUCCCUCUUAGGGUGCAUUUCCAGUGCGGAUUAAGGCCAGGGAUUAACCCUCUGUCCUCCAUCGAUACUUGCUCAAACGGCUAAGUUGUUGGCAAACCAACUCGCCUUUUCAACUUUUGGUUCCCUUAUGGAACAAAACUAUGUGGUAAGCUCGUAUCAAGGACUUCCGUGCCCUAAUCCCUGGCCUUAAUCCGCACUGGAAAUGCACCCUUAGCUUCUUCCCUGUCUGUACUUGCUGCUGCCUGGUUAUCGCUACCUUGCGUACAAGCGAUUCAGGACGCAUGAAUGAAGCGUAUUGCCUUAUUGUUAAUAAGGUAACUCAAAAUAAUAAUAUGAAGUACAAUACUUGUGGCCAAGGGCAG
rnacentral:lncRNA from 1 species